GAUGAACGCUGGCGGCGUGCCUAAUACAUGCAAGUCGAGCGAACAGACGAGGAGCUUGCUCCUCUGACGUUAGCGGCGGACGGGUGAGUAACACGUGGAUAACCUACCUAUAAGACUGGGAUAACUUCGGGAAACAGGAGCUAAUACCGGAUAAUAUAUUGAACCGCAGGGAUCAAUAGUGAAAGACGGUUUGGCUGUCACUUAGAGAUGGAUCCGCGCCGCAUUAGCUAGUUGGUAAGGUAACGGCUUACCAAGGCAACGAUGCGUAGCCGACCUGAGAGGGUGAUCGGCCACACUGGAACUGAGACACGGUCCAGACUCCUACGGGAGGCAGCAGUAGGGAAUCUUCCGCAAUGGGCGAAAGCCUGACGGAGCAACGCCGCGUGAGUGAUGAAGGUCUUCGGAUCGUAAAACUCUGUUAUUAGGGAAGAACAAAUGUGUAAGUAACUAUGCACGUCUUGACGGUACCUAAUCAGAAAGCCCCGGCUAACUACGUG
rnacentral:rRNA from 1 species